UACGGAGGGUGCAAGCGUUGCUCGGAAUUAUUGGGCGUAAAGGGUAGGUAGGUGGUCUUAUUUGUCUGGGGUGAAAGCCUUGGGCUUAACUCAAGAAGUGCCCCAGAAACGGUAAGACUAGAGUCCUGGAGAGGCGAGUGGAAUUCCCGGUGUAGCGGUGAAAUGCGUAGAGAUCGGGAGGAACACCAGAGGCGAAGGCGGCUCGCUGGACAGGGACUGACACUCAACUACGAAAGCGUGGGGAGCAAACAGG
rnacentral:rRNA from 1 species